ensembl:snRNA U6 U6 spliceosomal RNA
GUGCUCCCUUUGGCAGAACAUCUAUUAAAAUCGGGACGACACAGAGAUGACUGGUGUGUCCUCUGUGCCAGGAAGACACGCAAAUUCACAAAGCUGAUGUUUUU